CAGAACAGAAGCUUAAACGACAUUAAAAACUGAGCUGUGGUAAAGGAGGUCAAAGGAUGUCGAUGUCGUUUUCAGCUUUCUUAUUGCCAUCCUCAGGUUCAAGGCCAAGCAGUCUCUUCUUCACUGCUUAUCAAUUCUCUUUUGGGCUAUACUGUCGAAGUGCCUGAUUCAUAUGAGCAUCUCCUUCUUGAAGUCAUUGAUGGACAGAACCACCUCUUUCUGAGAAGCAACGAGCUUGCCGCUGCGUGGAACGUUCUUACUCCAGUUUUGAAUGAGAUAGACAAGAAAAAUAUGGCAACGGAGCUGUACGAGUUGGGGGGUCGAGGUCCGGUUGGAGCUUACCAUCUCCUGGGCAAAACAUGGGGUUCCCUGGGCAGAGGACUAGCGACUUAGAACUUCUGUUAAUCUUUUUCUCUUGAACAAAAACAACAUUGGAAUUUUUUUCGGAUUUUUUCUUCACCUUGCGUUACUUGCCUUCAUAUGUGAUUCUUGUUUACGCCAAGAAAAUUAAGAAUUGUUAGUGUUUUUA